ACUCAUACCUGGCAGGGGAGAUACUAUGAUCAUCAAAGUGGUUUUCCAAGAGUAAGACUCAUCUAUUGCACUUUGGAUGAGCUUCAUCCUGUGAUUUCCUCAAAUGUGGGAAAAUCAACUGCCUAAGUGGGGGACUAUGUUUGUGGUUUCCCUUG
rnacentral:snRNA from 1 species